rnacentral:sRNA from 1 species
AAGACUAAAUUUCAUUGCAAAUUCUGAAGUAAUAAAAGAACUAAUCCAGCCGCUAGCUAUGAGAUGUUCCAUUCAGACACCAAACAGUGAAGGAAAUGGAAGUAUUGCAGUUACAUUUAUGAACAUACUUCAUGAAACAACCGGAAGUCUUGCCACCGUGUCUAAAAAUAACAAAUAGGACCCCAGUUCAGACACAAGUUUGAAUAAAGUUCAAGGAUAUCUUUCAGAUCAAGGAUCAAAAGAAUCUUAUCUCCAAAUAACAUGGACAAAUCCAACUUCUCUACAGACGGGGAAAUACACCUGCGUAGCACAUACCAGAAACUACGCAGGAGUUGUGGAAAACUUGGAGGCCACUCUUACAGUUAGUGUGACGAAAACCAGUUUCGAUGAUUUGGUUGAUGUUG